AGAGUUUGAUCCUGGCUCAGGACGAACGCUGGCGGCACGCUUAACACAUGCAAGUCGAACGAGAGAAGAGAAGCUUGCUUUUCUGAUCUAGUGGCGGACGGGUGAGUAACACGUGAGCAAUCUGCCUUUCAGAGGGGGAUACCGAUUGGAAACGAUCGUUAAUACCGCAUAAUAUAAUUGAACCGCAUGAUUUGAUUAUCAAAGAUUUAUCGCUGAAAGAUGAGCUCGCGUCUGAUUAGCUAGUUGGUAAGGUAACGGCUUACCAAGGCGACGAUCAGUAGCCGACCUGAGAGGGUGACCGGCCACAUUGGGACUGAGACACGGCCCAGACUCCUACGGGAGGCAGCAGUGGGGAAUAUUGCACAAUGGAGGAAACUCUGAUGCAGCGAUGCCGCGUGAGGGAAGAAGGUUUUAGGAUUGUAAACCUCUGUCUUCAGGGACGAAAAAUGACGGUACCUGAGGAGGAAGCUCCGGCUAACUACGUGCCAGCAGCCGCGGUAAUACGUAGGGAGCGAGCGUUGUCCGGAAUUACUGGGUGUAAAGGGAGCGUAGGCGGGAUCGCAAGUCAGAUGUGAAAACUAUGGGCUUAACCCAUAAACUGCAUUUGAAACUGUGGUUCUUGAGUGAAGUAGAGGUAAGCGGAAUUCCUAGUGUAGCGGUGAAAUGCGUAGAUAUUAGGAGGAACAUCAGUGGCGAAGGCGGCUUACUGGGCUUUAACUGACGCUGAGGCUCGAAAGCGUGGGGAGCAAACAGGAUUAGAUACCCUGGUAGUCCACGCUGUAAACGAUGAUUACUAGGUGUGGGGGGACUGACCCCUUCCGUGCCGCAGCAAACGCAAUAAGUAAUCCACCUGGGGAGUACGACCGCAAGGUUGAAACUCAAAGGAAUUGACGGGGGCCCGCACAAGCAGUGGAGUAUGUGGUUUAAUUCGA
rnacentral:rRNA from 1 species